UAACUGCUCCCCACGGCAAGAGAUUAAGUCCCAGAACUAAGAAAUUAUGGUACAAACUGAAUUGGCAUGUUCUGUUCUCACUCUCAUCAACUCUUGCACACUAUUUUUUUCACUUUUCAAGUGCCAGUGCUCUGUUUCUAUUAAAGGAGGUGAUUGUUUGUUGUCUUCGCGCGAUGAAGAUAAACAGUGAGCUACGAGCCUACGAUGUGGGCAACUAAGAAUCGCUACCACCUCUGAAACAAAUCUCCAAGGCCUAUUUGAUUUGCGGUAUAUUUAUUUGGUCUUGGUGGGUGAGAUGUUUUCGAUGCAUAAUUGGGUUGCAGGGCCAUGAUAUUUUGUCAGUGGGAACUUAAACCACUAGUGUUAAUAUUUUUUUGAAAGGAAACAUUAUGUAUCUUUCUAGCCUGUAGUGCAUUGUUUAAUCUCAUGAAAAGGUUUUAUUUUA